GACGAACGCUGGCGGCGUGCUUAACACAUGCAAGUCGAACGGAAAGGCGCUGCUUUUGUGGGGUGCUCGAGUGGCGAGCGGGUGAGUAACACGUGAGUAACCUGCCCCUGACUGUGGGAUAACUUCAGGAAACUGGGGCUAAUACCGGGGAGGAGCUCCUGCUGCACGGUGGGGGUUGGUGAGAGUCGGCGGUGCGGGCAGGACUCGCGGCUUAUCAGCUGCUUGGGGGGGUAGUGGAGUUCCAAGGCUUUGGCGGGAAGGCGGCCUGGGAGGGUGGCCGGCCACCUUGGGCCUGAGGUACGGCCCCGUACCCUACGGGCCGCAGCAGGCGGGAAUAUUGCACAAUGGGCUCAAGCCUGUUGUAGCGGUCCCCCGUGCGUAAUGACGUCCUUCUGGUUGUGAACAGCUUUCUCAUUUGCCGAGGCGUGAGUGACGGUACCUAGUCAAGAAGCACCGGCUAACUACGUG
rnacentral:rRNA from 1 species